GUGAAGAAUUUGGACAUUUCAAGAUCUGAAGUGAAAUUAAACUGGAAUGGCCUGUCACGAAACCCAAGGAG
rnacentral:sRNA from 2 species